GCGCCGAUAGUUAAACGGUAGAACAGCCGCUUCCCAAGCGGCAGACUCGGGUUCGACUCCCGGUCGGCGCA
rfam:Gonapodya prolifera JEL478 unplaced genomic scaffold M427scaffold_81, whole genome shotgun sequence.